UCCCUGGUGGCUCAGUAGUAAAGAAUCUGCCUGCCAGUGCAGGAGACACAGGUUCAAUCCCUGGUCUGGGAA
rnacentral:tRNA from 1 species